UUUUAAUGGAGAUAAUCAUUAAUCCAACCUGCUCAAUGAUAUUAAAUAGCCGCAAUUAUAUUGUGCUAAGGUAGCAUAAUCAUUUGUCUUUUAAUUAAAGACUAGAACGAAAGGUUCAACAUUCAAAUUUCUAUAAAAUAUAAAAACAUUUAAAUUAUUCUAAAUAUAAAAAAAUAUUUAUAAAUAAAAAAGACAAUAAGACCCUAUUAAACUUCACUGUAGUUUAACUGGGGCAGUUAAUAAAAUAAAAUUUUAAUUAAAUUAAAUUAUCAAAUGACCUAAUACAAUUAAUUACUUGAACAAGUUACUAUAGGGAUAACAGCGUAAUAAUUUUCUAAAGAUCUUAUUUAAAAAAUUGAUUGCGACCUCGAUGUUGAAUAAUUACCUAAAUGACGCAACAGUCAUAUAAGGAAGUCUGUUCGACUUAUAAAUAAUUACA
rnacentral:rRNA from 1 species